GAUGAACGCUGGCGGCGUGCUUAACACAUGCAAGUCGAGCGAAGCACUUAAGUUUGAUUCUUCGGAUGAAGACUUUUGUGACUGAGCGGCGGACGGGUGAGUAACGCGUGGGUAACCUGCCUCAUACAGGGGGAUAACAGUUAGAAAUGACUGCUAAUACCGCAUAAGACCACGGUACCGCAUGGUACAGUGGUAAAAACUCCGGUGGUAUGAGAUGGACCCGCGUCUGAUUAGGUAGUUGGUGGGGUAACGGCCUACCAAGCCGACGAUCAGUAGCCGACCUGAGAGGGUGACCGGCCACAUUGGGACUGAGACACGGCCCAGACUCCUACGGGAGGCAGCAGUGGGGAAUAUUGCACAAUGGAGGAAACUCUGAUGCAGCGACGCCGCGUGAAGGAUGAAGUAUUUCGGUAUGUAAACUUCUAUCAGCAGGGAAGAAAAUGACGGUACCUGACUAAGAAGCCCCGGCUAACUACGUG
rnacentral:rRNA from 1 species